rnacentral:rRNA from 1 species
CGACCGGCGCACGGGUGAGUAACGCGUAUGCAACUUACCUAUCAGAGGGGGAUAACCCGGCGAAAGUCGGACUAAUACCGCAUGAAGCAGGGGCCCCGCAUGGGGAUAUUUGCUAAAGAUUCAUCGCUGAUAGAUAGGCAUGCGUUCCAUUAGGCAGUUGGCGGGGUAACGGCCCACCAAACCGACGAUGGAUAGGGGUUCUGAGAGGAAGGUCCCCCACAUUGGUACUGAGACACGGACCAA